CCUUUCUUUGCAGCUGAACCUGCCGGUGAAGAUCCCACAUCCAGGACUGAGGCUCUGGGAGAUGCUGAGGGUGUGUCUGCAGGGAGGAGAUUCAUACGUACGUUGGUGGUUAUUGCCAACAAGACCAGUCUGCAUGGCAGGGUUCCUCCGAAGAGGAAGAUGCAAGACACAACAGAGAAGAUAUCCCUGGAACCAUCCAAACAGAUGAGGCAAGUGCUGAAGAAAAUGCUGCAGGGAGGACAAGAAAUGAAAGGAGAGCCUGUGCAGAUGGAACCAUUUCCCGGAGGAAGUGGUUCCGUGCCAGCAUCUGUUGAAGGAAGGGAGGCCAUGCCAGGCACAGGCACAGGAGACUGGAGUCGUGACAUGGGUUUUCAGGAAGUCCUGAUGAAGGAUGGUUUGAAGUUCCUGGAGGAUGCUGGAG